rnacentral:lncRNA from 1 species
AAAACAAAUAUUUUUUAUUCACUAAUUAGUUGAUCAUAGUUUAUAGUUUUGGUGGUGGAAGUGGCGGAAUACAUACACAAUGACAACUGCCUCUAAUACAUAUGGUUCCGCAAGGUUUCUUACAAGAACCAACCGUUUGUGGGUUAACCAGCUUGGAAACUUGAAGAUCCAUUAACGGCAAAGACUUUUCUUCUUGUAACAUACGUUUCGCCUCAACAAUCUGAACAGUGACGGAUAUUACCCUGCAACAAUAAAGAUAAGUAACACAAUCUAAUUAUUUACGAUCAUAAAUAAUUAAGAAAAUUGUAUAAAGUUAUGAGAUGAAGCUUUAGAGUUUCCCAUAUUAUAUAAAUUUUGUACUUACCAGUAAAAGCUAAAAGGACAACAAAAGCAAACUUGAAUGAACCCAUCACUGCAGGAAAUGUGUUCGUUUUGACAACGGCAAGGUGAAUAUAUAUAUGUUCUCGACAAUGUAGUAUAACGUUUUUAUAGAACAGAAAAUGUGAUAAGGUCAAACUUUUUAUAUAUGGUAAGAAAAAAAAAUCUGAAAUAUCUUGUCUAUUAAAAUAGAAGUCAUGACUUAGUUCAUGUGUGAUUUUUUUUUAUUUG